GAAAGAACGACGCAUCACUUAUAUCUUGUAAGGAAUCGCCGGAGAUUCUGUCAAUAACAUUAUUCUCUUCAUGAGAUUUAUAUUGGAAAUAGUAAAUAGAGUAGAUUAUAAAAUUACUGUCAAUUAAUUUCUCAUCGCAUUUGUCUUGAUAUUUAAAAAGUGAUAAUAAUGGGAGUUGCCACAAGAGGAGUAAAGUUUAAAUUUGCUGCUGGGGAAAAGGUUUUGUGCUACGAGCCAGAUCCUACCAAAGCCAAAGUGCUUUAUGAAUCCAAAGUUUUGGAUCUGGUCGUUAGUCGAGAUGAACGUGGAAGAAAAGUUCCUGAAUAUCUCAUUCAUUUUUUUGGAUGGAAUAGCAGCUGGGAUCGAUGUGUGAGAGAAGAAUUUAUUUUACCAUUCACAGAAGAAAAUCGAGAAUUACAAGUAAAGCUGGCAAAUGAAGCUGCUUUAUCCAUAAAAGGCAAACGCAAGAGCAAAUUGCCACCACUGUUAAAAGAAACUUUGUACAAGAAACAAUGUAAUGACAGUGGGAAUGAAAAGUCUGAAAAUCCAGAUUCCUCAUCAUCUGAAUCUGAUUCGGAAUCUUCUGAGGAAGACACAGAAAAAGAUGUGAUACUCAAACUUCCUGAAAUUUUGAAAGAGGUACUGGAAGAUGACUGGCUUGCUGUCACAAAGAAAAACAAGUUAGUGAAAUUGCCUUGCCGGCCCAAUGUCAUCGCAAUCCUGGAAGAUUAUGUGAAACAUUUAGCAGCACAGCUCUUGUGUGCAUCACCGCCAAAGAAUACCAAAAAUGGGAAACAAAUCAUGCCAGAUGAUGUAAAAAAUAAGUUGAACUUAUGCAAGGAAGUUAUGGAUGGCAUUCGUGUCUAUUUUGACUUCACUUUGCCUCACUUGUUAUUGUAUCGCCAAGAGAAGAAACAGUACUAUACAGAUGGGACGAGAUUCUCCCCGCUCUUCGAUUCCUUCAGCGACUUGCCCGAAAAAGCUGUGAAAAUUGAAGUGGAUACUUAUCACGAAGCAGCUUUGAAGUCCGACUUGGCUUUUCCUGGAUGUCUGCAGAAAAGCCGAAUAUCCAGAUAUCUGAAAUCUCCCUCAGCUGUAGUCAAGACGGAGGUUCGGAGCAGUCCAGAAGCACAUCAGCCCGCAGAAAAGUGUUUUAAAAGAAAACGUGCAAGAGGAAGGCCCAGAAUGGCCAGCACACGAAUCUUGCGAUCAAGUGAUAAACCAAAACAAUCCACAUCGGCAGAAGAAUCGGCUGUUGUGACGAAUUCACUUGAAAUGAAACCAUGCCCCUCAAGCGAGACGCGCCUCACUCGGAAAUCAACGCAGCAGGCUACAAGCAGUGAUUUAAUGGAAAAGAGUCUCUCUGCCUCUCGCUGCCCAAGCACUACCGAUUCUUCUGGACUCUCCACAGCUUCCGUCCCGAAAUUAAGUCAGCAGUGUGUCUUGAUCAACGAUAUGACCCUGCUGCAGGAGAUCUUCUCAUGGCGCAUUCUGCCUCAGCAUUUCUACGAGCAGAUCCCGGCUGCACCCUCGCUCAUUUACGGCGCUCAUCAUCUCCUUCGGCUGCUGGUGAAACUUCCAGAAAUGAUCUCUAAGAUGAGCUUAUCCACUCAAAAGUUGCAGAAUUUGAUGUGCAUUUUGGAGAAUUUCCUAAUGUAUGUGGCUGAUCGGAAGGGCGAUUUAUUUCAUCCCGCUACUUACAUUGAUUCUUCUGACAGCUUUUGAUAUGGAUAUUCCAACGUUGUCAAAUGACCAGGUAUCUGUUACUGAAAAUGUAAAUUGUUUUGCUAUUGUUCAUCUGCACAUCCAUAUGUAGAAGAGCAUCUGCAAGAUAAAUAUUUUGAUAACCAAGCAUCUCGGUCGGACCUUUUCCAUCUUUUUAUAAAGGGACAUUACCAUACCAUUCUUCAUAUAGAGAGCAUCUUCAAUUUUGCUUCCAUCGAAAAAUUUUAUCUACACAUGUUUUAAUAACUAGUUGAUUUGGGGGGAUGCUAAUUCUUGGAGCACUGCAAUCGAAUUGUCAGAAAUAACUUAAUAAUAAGUAGUCAGAAGAUAACCUUUAGCAUUAGAUAUUAAUAUUACAUCAGGAUGGCACUUUUUCUUAUGCUUAAAUUGUGCUAUUAGUUGCUCUCUAACUGUUUCAUUUACAUCAUAAAAAUUUCAUACAUUUUUUAAUGUAUAUAAUCUUUUAUUUUAUUAUCAUCAUAAUAAAAUUUGAUUUUCUCCGUUUGUUUAUUCUCA